rnacentral:misc_RNA from 1 species
UGUGGGAGGGGGCUUGCCCCCGAUGCAGGCAACUCGGCCUGUCAGUCAGACCGAGGUGAUGCUAUCGGGGGCAAGCCCCCUCCCACA